AUUGAACGCUGGCGGCAGGCUUAACACAUGCAAGUCGAGCGAGCGGCGGACGGGUGAGUAAUGUCUGGGAAACUGCCAGAUGGAGGGGGGUAACUACUGGAAACGGUAGCUAAUACAGAAUACCAACAGCUGUGACCAGAUGGGAUUAGCUGGUAGGGGGGGUAACGGCGCACCUAGUCGACGAUCCCUAGCUAGUCUGAGAGGAUGACCAGGCACACUGGAACGGAGACACGGUCCAGACUCCUACGGUGGGCAGCAGUGGGGAAUAUUGCACAAUGGGCGCAAGCCUGAUGCAGCCAUGCCGCGUGUGUGAAGAAGGCCUUCGGGUUGUAAAGCACUUUCAGCGGGGAGGCGUUACCCGCAGAAGAAGCACCGGCUAACUCCGUGCCAGCAGCCGCGGUAAUAC
rnacentral:rRNA from 1 species